rnacentral:lncRNA from 1 species
AUAGAUAUAGGAAAUUAUCCGAUGACUAAAAGAAAUAUAAACUUGAAAAAAAAUUAAAUUAUUACCUAAAAUAAAAGCUUAACAAAAAAAAUGCAACUUAAACUAAACUAGCUAUUUUGAAUCCCAAGAGGAACUUAAACUCAUCAUUGGUGUUCCAAAUUAAGUAUUGGACAUUGGAACUGGCCUUUUCCCAUACUCUUGCAAGUCUUUAAAGGAUUUAAGCAAAUCAGGG